AUAGAUCUUGAUGAAAUUUUUGCAUGAUUAGAAGUAAAGAUCACCAUUAUCAUUUGCUUGUUUUAUGAGCUUUAUAUUCUGUCAAAUGAAUGUGUAGAAUGCACUCCUAUGUGGUUAUUUCAUUAAAGAAGAUCUAUGUAAAAUAACCACCUUAUUUGAAAACACUCAUUACAAAUAUGAUAAAGCAAUAUAUGAUUUGGAACAAGC
rnacentral:lncRNA from 1 species